CCCUUAGAUGUUCUGGGCCGCACGCGUGCUACACUGAACGGUUCAAUGGGUAAGGUAGUGCGAAAGCAUGACCUAAUCUCGAAAUCCGUUCGUGCUGGGGAUAGAAGCUUGCAAUUAUCCUUCUUGAACGAGGAAUACCUUGUAAGCGUGAGUCAUCAUCUCACGCUGAAUACGUCCCUGCCCUUUGUACACACCGCCCGUCGCUCCUACCGAUUGAGUGUUCCGGUGAGGCUUUGGGAGAAUGGCCUCAACAUGAGUUUAUCGUGUUUUGCCGUUUGAACCUAGUCAAACCUUAUCACUUAGAGGAAGGAGAAGUCGUAACA
rnacentral:rRNA from 1 species